GGAUGACCUUUCCUGCUUUGUAGAUGAACUGUGCAAAUUGAUGAACACUUCCAUAAAGAAGAACUUCCAUAAAACAAUCCAUAGACUGCGGAGAAAAGCAAAAUACCUCAACAUUAUUAAUGGCAACUGCACUGUGCAUGAUAAUCAAACAAGGAACACCAUGGCAUUUCUGGACAGAAUGUUGACACUUUUACAGCAAAAGUUCAGACAACAGUGAUAUAUCAGACACCAGACACUUCAAAAUCAAUUAUGGAUUAUGGAAAUUUUAAGCCAUUGUGAUCUAUUCCAAAAGGAUGGAUUUUUAAAAAAUA